GCACAUGCAUAUAUGAAGUUUCCAGUGAUAUUUCAUGAUCAUGAUAUUCACAGAUCUCCUAGGCCAGGAUUUACCAAUCUUCUGCAUUCACACAGUCUAUUUUGAAUUGAUUCGCAUGCAGCUCGAACAUAUGACUCACUGACAUUAUUUUCGAAAUUCCUGUAGAAUGUCAAGUCUAAUUUGGGGCAUUUUUAUGUAGAAGAUGUGCCAAAUACUAUUUACCUGUUUUUUUGGUGCCAUUUCUCAUGUAAUCCUCAGUUUUCUUUCAAUUAUUUUCAAUGAACGUAAGAAACCGAAAGAGGAAGAAAGUGAGUCAACCACCAGUUUGAAAAUUGAGGUAUAGUUAGGAAUGAAAUUGUGUCCGAGACAGCAAGCAUGAAAAUAGUUACAAAAUGGGAAAUAUUUCAAUGACUUAAAAUUAAGCCUACAGGAAAACACACUGUAAAUACCAUUAAAUUCUUAAAUUGUUUUUCAGUAGUGUUCAAUAGUUUGUGUAAGAACGGUCUCAAAUAAGAUGAAUCUCUAUA